AGCUCUGUCCCAAGACGGCGGCCACUACGCACUCACCGCGACAGCCCCGCACCCCUCUGUGUGUGUGUGUGUGUGUGUGUGUGUGUCUGUCUGUCUGUCUGUCUGGUUUCACGGGUACACACACACACGCGUCCAUGCAGGCAAGAGGGGCGUGGCGAUAUACACGUCCCUUGCAGCUGCCACCCGCGUCGCGCUUUUACACUGCACGUGUCUUGCGGGCGGCGCCUUCUCCGCCAGCGACGCUACGCCUCUGUCUUCACUCUCGCUCCCUCUCGCUUCGUGCGGUGCACACUCUUAGACUAGAUUUGUAUAUCCGCGACACGUACCGCCAGGACAGCGCCGCCUCCCUCCUGCCCUUCUGCCCAGUACAUCAACGGGACCGGCGUGAGGAGAUUAUGCGCGUCUUUGUGUGGCUCUAGUAUCGCCUCAUGCUCCGGCCUCUGAAAGGGGAGCGGUGUGCGCAGGGACGCCCGCCAACGCCGCACCUGGAGCAGCAGCAGCAGCAGCAGGUCUCGCCUUCUUGGACGCAAGACCAACCACAGCAGCAGCGGCACUCGAAGGCGCAAAAGGGGCGAGCAUCGAGGACGAGGGAGGUCGGCGCGUCGACGGCCAACGGCGGCAGCGACACGAACGCACGAGCGCCGCAUCGCAGCUCCUCAUGUGCUGUCGGUGCUCGUCGCCCGAGCGCGGGUCUCAACGACAACACCCGUAGCAUCUCCGACCACAGCAGCAGCACGGAGAGCGGCAACUGCUUCGAGGCACACACUCUUAGAGAAAGCUGGCGCAGCAUCGAUCGACGGCAGCGGUGCAGAGAAUCAGCCGAGCCGCCCGCGCGGCAGAAGCGAAGUGGGCACGUGAAACGAGCUAAGGAUCUGCUUCUCCAGUGCCCGCCCGCCGGUAAGCCCGCUACGCCGGCGCUUGCACAAAAAGGCGACGUGGGAGGCGCAGCCGUGCAAGCAGCGCCAGCGGUGGCUGCACAGGACAUCCAGGGGAGAGAGGAGCAACACCCACGCAGUGGUGGUGGCGUUUUACCGUUGCACCAUCCGCUGUACUGCACACGCGGCGAAGCGCUCCUCGAGCACCCUCGGCACGCAUGCCCCUCCGACGGCGACGGCAGCUACGGCACUAGUGGGCGCCGCGGCUUCCGCUCCCCUGUAAAGCUGCAACGCACGUCUCCCGAACGCAGCACGCACGUAAGCAGGACGAUCGCAGCUUCCCGUCGCGAAGGUCCGUUUUUUCGGAGCGCUGGUAUCGUGGCGUACAGCAGCAGCUCCUCCUCUAGCACUCGCAGUGCAAGUAGCAGUGACAGUUGUGGCGGAGCCGGCGAUGGAGGUCAUACGCGACGCACCGCCCGCUUGGCGUCGCCAAAGCCGCUUAUAGAUGCAAGAAAGGUAUUCAAGAUGUCGCCGAACGCCCGCCUUGCGCGUGUUCGUGGCGCGGUCUGUGCGCAGCAGCAGCAAGGUCUGCCUCCUUCCACACUCAUGGCACCCACUCAUGAGCAGCAGCUCAUCGAUCCAGAAUCUGUGACGGCCGCCCCAACUGCAACGGCGAUUUGCAGUGCGCCGCCGUCGUUUCUCAGCCCGGCGAAGCGCUGCUGGAGUUCGUCUGGAGUGCAUCGUGAAAGCGCGCCGGCUGAUGCUGACCCCAGCGACAACGGCGGCGACGGAAUUCAUGAAGGCUGUGCUUCUCACCACUCAAGCAAACUUGCUCGCCACGCCGCACGAUUGCCGCCGCGAGAGGCGGAGAACGAGGUGCCAGCUGAGGUGAUGGGUGUCUCGGCUGCACAGACUUUGCUCAUCCGUCGGGGAGAACGUGGAAGCAAUACCUCGGAAUACGGAAAGGGCAGCACACAAUCGCACAGUUCAGUGCAGCGGAAUGUGAAGAGCGCGCGGCGUCACCGACGGCAUCAUCGCCGGGACUACGCGCCCGCGCACGUCGUCCUCGAGAACGCGACGCCGCGACGAGCAGAUGAUGGCGCGUACAGCUACGGAAAAAACAGCAGCGAUAGCAUGCUGGCUAGCGCGGCUGAGGUUGGCUCCUCGCGCUGCGGACGGUGGCCGCCGAACGCGCGGUCGGCGAGAUCCUUGGAAAGUAUGGCUUCCCCGAAUGUUGCGCUCGCAUGUUCCGAGUUGCAGCGACAAUACGGCGCCUCCCUGAGCAGCCGUUCAAUGCAAGCGGCCUUUACUGCAUACCUGCACCGCAGUGGUCACGUGUCCGGCCCAGAGGGUAAUGCCCGUCAGAGGGCCACUCCAGUGCAGGAUGCGCCACCGCGGAUCACCCACGCGCACGAUGCACUGCCAGCGCAGCAGCGGCCGAACAUGAAAGCGGUCGCAGCACUCUCGGCACACAGCAUGGGGAUGGAGCCGGCGGCCGAUGAACUUGCGCUGGAAAAAGAGGUGCUUCUCCUCCGAUACUCGUUACUCAUAACGUACGCGCUACUCGCAGCCACGGCGGUGAAUGGGCACGAUGGUGGUUGCGUCGGCGCAAUGGCAGAGAGGCCGUGGCAGCACGUUGCGCGGCACUACGCUAAGUGGACGACGGAGACGGCGCAGCGGGCACAUGGGCGCGCCGGUGCACAAGCAGGCGAGUCCGACGAGCAAAGCAGGGAGCGUCGACGUCGUCAUCGGCGCUUUACUGCGCCGCACCUGCGCGGGCCGACUCCGUGGCCGGCGCUGGAGGCUCGGUUGGCUGCGGCGGUGCAAGCAGCGGCCGAGGAGCUGCUUUUUGACGGCGAUGCAGCAACCGCACCACAGGCACUCCCUCCGCCACGGCUGCUGCUGCGCGAGUCUCCACCCCACGACGUCGUCGGGCUGCCCUCUGUGUGGUACCCGCCUCAUCGAAGCGAUGAGAACGACGGCCCGUUGAGCGGGAGGCUUUGGGUGUGGUUCAGCGGCGACGACGGCGGUCACUCGGAGGACGGCGUCGCAGGGGUCUCCCUAUCGUCCUCUGAUGAAGGCGUAAAGUGCAGCGGCGACAGUGGCGCGAAGCGGCGAAGUCUCAGCGAGGACAGCACCGCAUGGCGGCGGCACGAGCGCAGAAAGGGCGAGGGGCUCUCAUCGGCGUUAAGGUUCUCUCGCAGCAGCAUUGUGGAGCGUCGGCGGCCGCAGGCGUUGGCGCCGUCGUUUCGUGGUGCGUGGCGCCGCUGCUUCGUUGUCGCAGACGAUAGCGGCGUGUGCGUGUACCCCACCGAGCGCGAUUACGCCGACUUUGCCAGCGAGAGCCUCCUCAUGGCCGUUCCGUACGCAUCGCUUGCCUACCUUAUACCGGACUUUGCUGCUGCUGCUGCCGCGGUGGCAGUCGACGACGUCAGCGCGGAGCAAGAGGAGACGGGAUGGAGCGGCAGCAGCCAUUCAAGGCCCUCGAAUCGCCCAGGACGAGGCGGCUACCCGCUGCAGCGCCACGGUUCUCUGGAAGCCGUGCACGUUUCGACGAUAGAAGCUGUGACGGCCCAGCUUGUGACUGACGCCACGUACACGUACUUUGGCUUUCUGCACUGUCAGAGAGAUGGUGUGGCGCGCCGCGCCGCAGGAAUGACAGAGGCCUUCUCCACAGCGCUGCAGAAUGCUUUCGAUCAAGAGCAGGGGGAUGCGCGCCCGCUUGGCUUUGCUCCUUGGCGCGUGAGCGGUGACAGCGGCCAGCGCUACGCUCACCGGCCACACGCACCGUUGCUGCUGCGCACGCAGUCCCGCGCCGCCCACGCAGAGUGGGUGCACUUCUUCGCUGUCAAGUUCAACCGGCAUCUCUACAGGCUGCUCUUUCCGACAUCGUCUGCGGCGGCCGUGCCAAAGCCUCCGCUUACGUUUCGCCCUCGUGGCAAUGCAGAGGCGGUGGCCGUGGCCGAGGCAGGCGCCGAUGAUGUCCUGCGCGACCACCUGCGGAAGGGGAGCCAUUGCCCCCGCAGCCGCACACGAAGCCUCAGCGCCAGCUCAACGCAGCGACAACAACACGUCUACGAUGGGGCAGCAUCACCAUCCGCGUCGUCGCAUCAUCGCUCCUAUCGACUGCCUCACGCAGAUGAAGCACUGGAAGGCAAGGACCGCGACGACGCGCAGGACGAGGUAGGCACCGGCACCUGCGCCUUGCACCGUCUCUCCAACUCGUCCUCCUCCUCCAUCCAAGUGGGGGACUCCUGUGACUACGGCACGCCCGCAGCAGCGACAGUGGAAAGGGCAGCUGCAGAGGCAAGAAGAGAAGUCAGAGGUGCAUCGCUCAAGAACACGAACGAGGCACGUGAGGCGUUCUCCUCGCGACCGUCAACGACAGCGACUCCGCGACGCGAUUGGCCGUCAGGAGCGUGUGAGCCGUGGUGGGAAACGACCGCGGCCUUGCGCUACUCCGUCGCGCAGCGGGAUCAACAGCUGCAGGGCCAAGAAAGGAAGAUGGCCGACAUGGCUGAGGCACUGCGGCAGCACGCGCAGCGCGUGCACAGCCUCGAAGAAAACCAGGACAGUCUUCGCACUGCUCUGCGUGACGCUCGCGACCGUCUCGCGAACGUGAGUGCAGCGGAGGGAGGCCAGCAAUGGGAGGGCCGCGCAGAGGCGAGCAGCAAGUACCACAUCCAUCUCCGCCAUCUACCACCCUCUGUGACAACGCCACGCAAGCGGCACAUGAUUAACCCUGGUGCUUUCGAUCAACCCAGAAGCCCGCGCGCACCUGGCCCAACCCGGCCCGAUCCGCAGCAUCAGGAGCAGCAGUGCGAGCUGGAAUCUCUUCAAGCGCAGCUGGAGGAACUUCAGCGGCGCUACACGGAAGACGCCGUGUCGUGGCGAGCUGAGCGAGCGGCACUCGAAAGCCGCUGCCUUGCCUCGGAGGAGAAGCUGGAACACUUGCGCAGCGGUACCUCGCGGCCAUCCCGCUCGCCGGCUCACCAGGUGGUGCACGAGAUGGGCAACGACGACCACGAGAUACGCCGCGGAACGGAGGGGUGUGUGGAUGCGGUAUCGUCUGGGCAGAUGCUCAGCAGCGCGCUUGCCGCUGCCGAGAAUAACGCCAGCGCGGCGGUACACGUUAGCCGAUCCGCAAGUAAGUGCCGCCGGAAUGGAGGUGCGGUGCCGCCCAUCACCGUGGCCUCGGCACCAGACAACGCCUUUGCCUCCCUCCUGCUCACCUUCGAGCCCAGCCGCGGCCGUGCUGGUGCGCAUGCCGGUGCAUGCGUCGAUGGAGCGCUUAUUGUCGAUGAGGCCAGUGCGCGACUACUGUUUAGUGGCCCCACGGCGAACCAGCGUGGACGUCGCUGGGAGCUGCGGCAUCGCGACACAGACGCCCUGCUUCGUAUCCAGCUCGAGUUACUGUCGCGAGCCCCGGGAGAUGCGCGUGCGACGACUGGGUCGACCUCGCGCCGACGCAGUCAAGCCGCCUCCGCCUCCUCCGCGCCGACGGCGAAGACGCGAGCGUCUUCCUCGUCAGCGCACUCUCGGCCCGGCCACACGACCCCGCGCAGGCCCACCGGCGCAGCAGCUGGUGCAUUGCUGCCCUCCUCGUCAUCUCCGCCGCCGGCCUGGUCGGUGCAUGCCUAUGAUCAGAGGAGCUCGCACCACUACUCUCCUUUGCCUGUCUCCGCGGCCGCAGCAUCAUGCUCCACGGCAUCGACGCAGCCGCGUGCACACAUGUCCUCUCUCCUGCAGACGGUGAACAUGAUGCCGCGGCACACGCGGGCCUCGCUGCUGCGGCAGGCCGCCGUUGAGCAGAAGAUUCAGGUGAGAGAAGCCGAGGAAGAGAGGGGCGGCUUCAUGUAGCACUGCCGAAAGCGCGCGCGGGCGCGUGCGUGUUGUAGAGCGAAGAGCUGCGUGAAAUCGGAAUCGUGCGCGCGGUCGGUCCUUCCCCUCGCCCCCGCCCGCUCACCACAUGCGCAACUCGCCAUCGCGACAAGGUUCUUCUGCGUGUGCUCUGCUUGUGUUUUGUGCCUAGACCCUGUGUCUUGCGCUCUCUGCCAUCUAUGCCGCAUGACCGCCACCACCACCAUCGUCUCAUCGUCCUCUCGCGUGGCAGGUGUUUUAUCGGCUGCACAGCACCUCAUCUAUCCCCCUCCC
rnacentral:misc_RNA from 1 species